CCUACGGGUGGCAGCAGUGGGGGAUAUUGGACAAUGGGGGGAACCCUGAUCCAGCGACGCCGCGUGAGUGAAGAAGUAUCUCGGUAUGUAAAGCUCUGUCAGCAGGGAAGAAAGCAAUGACGGUACCUGACCAAGAAGCCUCGGCUAACUACGUGCCAGCAGACGCGGUAAUACGUCGGGGGCAAGCGUUAUCCGGAAUUACUGGGUGUAAAGGGAGCGUAGGCGGCUGUGCAAGUCUGGAGUGAAAGGCGGGGGCCCAACCCCCGUACUGCAUUGGAAACUGUAUGGCUGGAGUGCAGGAGAGGUAAGCGGAAUGCGUGGUGUAGCGGUGAAAUGCGUAGAUAUUAGGAGGAACACCGAUGGCGAAGGCAGCUUACUGGACUGUAACUGACGUUGAGGCUCGAAAGCGUGGGGAGCAAACAGGAUUAGAUACCCGGGUAGUC
rnacentral:rRNA from 1 species